rnacentral:lncRNA from 1 species
AUGGUACUACUGAAUUUAUCCUCAUCACCAUCAUCGUCAUCAUCAUCAAAACAGAAUUCUGGCGAAGGGAAACAAGGUGUGGAAAAACAAGAGAAGAAAGCUGUUAUCCUUCUACCUGUCUCCACAAGGACCCCACCUGUACAUAGGAAAGAUGGACAAGGAGGAAGAAUCCUAAUGGGUGAGGGGAACCCACCCAAGGAGCCGGUGUGUGGCCCGGAAACACAGAGCCGAAGAGGUUCAGGAAGCCCCCAAGUCCAUCCACUGAAGGUACUGAGACAGUGUCACUGGAACUGGGAUGAAACUGUAGCUGGCACUAACUAAGGAGCAACCUUUACAGUGGAAGAUGUGACCACAGGAGAAUGGCCUGCCAGGGUCCAGGAAAAGGGACUCCCCAAAGCAAGAACUCAG